CAAUUCUCCCACAUCGACGCGAACACGCUUCGAACGAGGCGCUCUCUUCUUGCAGAUCUCUCAGAGGAACCACAUCGUUUUGUUGGGGCUCGCCUUUUGACCAUCAAUUUCACCGAUCUUCAGUGGAAACACGUGGCCUGAAGUUUUACUAGUGAGGACCACACGACCAGUCAACGAAACAAAGUGUGCUAAUCGUCUUUUAUAUUUUCAUAAUCUCGCGUGACGGUCCAGGAACACUAUCACGGGAUGGUUGCUGAUCACUGUCACGGGGUCGGUCCUGGAACACUAUGACGGACACGGUCCCGGAUCACUAUCACGGCAACUGUCACGGAUCAUCAUCAUCACCGGAACUGUCACGGAUCAUCAUCACAUGGACGGUCCCGGAUCAGUUUCACGGGAACUGUCACAAAUCAUUAUCACGAGGACGGUAGCGGAUCAUCAUCACGAGAACUGUCACGGAUCAUCAUCAUGGGGACGGUACCGGAUCACUAUCACGGGAACUGUCACAGUGAUUAACCCAUCCAAAAUGAUAAUCCCAAAUCAAUGUCACGCUGUAACGGUAAGAAUCCCGUCCAAAAAGACGGUCCCGAAUCAAUGUUACGGAAACUGUCACGGAACAUCAUCACGGGGUCGAUUUACGAUAACGGUACCGGAUCACUAUCACGGGAACUGUCACAGUAAUUAUCCCGUCCAAAGUGACGGUCCCGAAUCAAUGUCACGGAUCACUAUCACGGGCAUGGUCCCGGAUUACUGUCACAUCAACUGUCACGGAUCACUAUAACGGUGAUAAUCCUGUCUAAAAAGACGGUCCCGAAUCAAUGUUACGUGAACUGUCACGGUUCACUAUCGCGGAAUGGUCCCGGAUCAGUUUCAAGGGAACUGUCACAGAUCAUCAUCACGGAAACUGUCACGGAUUAUCAUCACGGGGACAAUCUUGGAUCAAUUUCACGGGAACUGUCAAGGAUCACUAUCACAGGAACUGUAAUGGAUCACUAUCACGGGACUGUACCGAACCACUAUCACGGGAACUGUCAUGGAUCAAUGUCACGGCAUGGUCCCGGAUCACUAUCACGGAAAUUGUUACGAGGGCGGUCCCGGAUCAGUAUCACGAUAACUGUCACGGAUCAUCAUCACAGGGACAUUAUCGGAUCACUAUCCCUGGGACCGUCCCGACUUACUGUCAAGUUUAAAAAAUUAUUUUAAAGUAUAGCAUGUGACGUAUCAAAACACUCGGAAUGUAGUAUAUAAAACGAAUCAAAAUAUUAAAUUUUAUCUUUGACACAUGUCGUAUGACAAAUUUUUGUCAAAUUCAAUUUUUUUAUAAAAUUAUGACAUGUGACAUAUCAAAUAAAGCGGAAUAUAGCAUGUAAAACAAACAAAAAUGUUAAAUUUAAAAAAUACUGCCAUGCCAACAAUUUUUUUUUUAAAAAUUGGACAAAUAAGCCAAAUUCUCAUUCAAAUUGCAUUAAUAAUUGCCAUUCCAACAAUUAUGUUUUGAAAAAUUGGAAAAAUAAGCCAAUUUUUGAUAAAAUCAAAUAUAGUUAAAUACACUGACAUUAGCUUGUAAAUUUAAUUUUUAUAGUUUAACAAUCAACGGGUUAAUUAAGAAAGUGCUUUUGUUGACAAUUGUUUGCUCUUUUCACUUUUAGGCAAUUUUCUUCGUUUUUUGUAAUUCGUGUUUGUUCACAUUCAAGUGUGUGUCUAUCUUAUCUUGGCAGGUCUUGGCAACUAAUAUUCACACACGUUUUAAAUGUGCGUAUAACGAACAUUUUUGUAUAUCAGACUUGGAAAUACUUCGCAAAACUUUAAACUUAUAAAUCUUUAUUGGAAAACUUUGCGAUCUCAAUUAAUUAUUUUAUGUAAUUUUAAUGUCUUCAAUUGUCCAAAACUUUUUAUCAUUAAUUAUAAACAAAUACUUCUCUGAAAAUACUUAGUUUUCUAAGAUGAAUCCAUUUUAAGGUUUUAAAAUUAGUCAAUUGGCCAUUUGAAUACUGUGCACUAACAAAGAAAACUGCUUUUUUCGCAAAACGUGCAAUUAUCGUGCGCGAUCUAAAUGAACGAAUCAGGAAGGCAUUAUAUUAAAACUCUAACCCUUCUAAUGAUCUUAAAUAACUCCAGUAGUACUACUACAACUAUUUAAAAAAUAAAAAUUAUGAAAUUAAAUUUUGAUUUUUAGCCAACUUUUUAGAUUUCUGGCCCACUGUGGGUCGCUGAAACCGAAUAUGACCAUGAAAUUUUUUUGCACUUGCUCAUUUUCCCGCUACCACCCUCUUUACUUUCCUUUCAUGAAAACAACUUGGAAAUGUUCUUAACAUUAUUUUUUCUGGUGAAGUUCUGAAGUUUAAAAAUAAAAAAUUUUUUCUUCAUACCUCGGUCGAAAGUACGUAUUUCCCGCUGCGAUUUCGCAGCAGAAAGUCAAACAUUUGUGCUUUGGUUGAUUUUCAUACCCAACCUCUAUUACAGCGGGAGUAAAAGAAUUCUCUGUCGGUAAAAACACCACUGUCGGUAAAUAAGAAAAUUUUGAGUUCAAUGACAAUUUAACGAGUAAUUGUUAUCGCAAUAUAAAAUGAGAAAAAAAAUUAUCAAGAAAACUUUUUAUACUUUAUAAAUUUAUUAUCCACAAGCUCUGAAU